rnacentral:rRNA from 1 species
AUUGAACGCUGGCGGCAGGCUUAACACAUGCAAGUCGAGCGAGCGGCGGACGGGUGAGUAAUGUCUGGGAAACUGCCUGAUGGAGGGGGAUAACUACUGGAAACGGUAGCUAAUACCGCAUACCAUCAGAUGUGCCCAGAUGGGAUUAGCUAGUAGGUGGGGUAAUGGCUCACCUAGGCGACGAUCCCUAGCUGGUCUGAGAGGAUGACCGGACACACUGAAACGGAGACAAGGUGCAGACUCCUACGGGAGGAAGCAGUGGGGAAUAUUGCACAAUGGGCGCAAGCCUGAUGCAGACAUGCCGGGUGUGUGAAGAAGGCAUUCGGGUUGUAAAGCACUUUCAGCGGGGAGGCGUUACACGCAGAAGAAGCACCGGCUAACUCCGUGCCAGCCGCCGCGGUAAUAC